UCUUUGAUCCAUGAGCUCUCUUCCUCUCUCUUCUUCUUCAACUUUCAUAUUCACAUUUAUUCAUUUUAUUAAAAACUGAUUUCUUUUUGUGUUUAUUUGUACAAUUCUUUAUGAUUUUGUCUUAUCGUUCUCUGAUUCGAUGAAGAUACUUCUUACUUACCCCACAAAGCUUGGAGGCCCACCUCAAUAAAUCCAUCUUUUGCCUUCAUGGAACACAUUUAGCUACUCUACCUUGUUUAAUUUGGUCUUGUAAAAUCUCUUUAAUGUCACCGUUUGCCUUCA